rnacentral:rRNA from 1 species
GACGAACGCUGGCGGCGUGCUUAACACAUGCAAGUCGAACGGAAAGGCCCUGCUUUUGUGGGGUGCUCGAGUGGCGAACGGGUGAGUAACACGUGAGUAACCUGCCCUUGACUUUGGGAUAACUUCAGGAAACUGGGGCUAAUACCGGAUAGGAGCUCCUGUUGCAUGGUGGGGGUUGGAAAGUUUCGGCGGUUGGGGAUGGACUCGCGGCUUAUCAGCUUGUUGGUGGGGGAGUGGCUUACCAAGGCGUUGACGGGUAGCCGGCCUGAGAGGGUGACCGGCCACAUUGGGACUGAGGUGCGGCCCAGGCUCCUACGGGAGGCAGCAGUGGGGAAUAUUGCACAAUGGGCGGAAGCCUGGUGCAGCAGCGCCGCGUGCGGGAUGGCGGCCUUCGGGUUGUAAACCGCUUUCGCCUGUGACGAAGCGUGAGUGACGGUAAUGGGUAGAGAAGCACCGGCUAACUACGUG